AGGCCCCAGAGCGCACUUUGGACUGGAAAACACCGCUGUGUGUGUGUUUGUGUGUGUGUGUGUUUGUGUGUGUGUGUGUGUGUGUGUGUGUGUGUGUGUGUGUUCAGGAACACAUCAGGACUUGAACUCAUGACUGCAGCUCCCUCUGUCCAGCAGAGGGCGCUCCGUCACCAUAGUAACCUGCAACAUGUUACCAUGGUGACGCUCCAGGAUCCAAUCACCAUUCAACCCAACCGAUUUUAACCAAUCAGCAGCCUGAGGCUCUGAUUGGACGUUUGUUACUAUUUAUGGGAUGUUUAGAUUUUACGGUUACCGGGGCAACGCUAGAGGGUUUUAUACUGUUGUAAAUGUUUAGCUGUGAGGUUCUGGUUCUGGACUGGUUCUGUCUGGAGGAAGCAGAACAAACCGCUCUAAGUUAUUUGUUUCAAGGAACUGAAUAAAGUUUUAGUAAACUGA